rnacentral:tRNA from 1 species
AUUUAUAUAGUAUAAAAAUUAUAAUUGAUUUCCAAUCAAUAGAUCUUUAAUAAAGUAUAAAUA